UACGAGGGGGGCGAGCGUUGUUCGGAUUUACUGGGCGUAAAGGGCGCGUAGGCGGUGCGGUAAGUCACCUGUGAAAUCUCUGGGCUCAACUCAGAGUCUGCAGGCGAAACUGCCGUGCUGGAGUAUGGGGAGAGGUGCGUGGAAUUCCCGGGUGUAGCGGUGAAAUGCGUAGAUAUCAGGAGGAACACCGGUGGCGAAGGGCGGGUCUCUGGGCCGAUAUUGACGCUGAGGAGCGAAAGCGUGGGGAGCGAACAGG
rnacentral:rRNA from 1 species